AACGAACGCUGGCGGCAGGCUUAACACAUGCAAGUCGAGCGAAGACUUCGGUCUUAGCGGCGGACGGGUGAGUAACGCGUGGGAACGUGCCUUUUGCUACGGAAUAGCCCCGGGAAACUGGGAGUAAUACCGUAUACGCCCUUUGGGGAAAGAUUUAUCGGCAAAGAGAUCGGCCCGCGUUGGAUUAGGUAGUUGGUGGGGUAAUGGCCUACCAAGCCGACGAUCCAUAGCUGGUUUGAGAGGAUGAUCAGCCACACUGGGACUGAGACACGGCCCAGACUCCUACGGGAGGCAGCAGUGGGGAAUCUUAGACAAUGGGG
rnacentral:rRNA from 1 species